GAUAUUGUAGUCCAAGGAAGUUUGAGGCAAUAACAGGUCUGUGAUGCCCUUCGAUGUUCUGGGCCGCACGCGCGCUACACUGAUUGCCUCAACGAGUGUUACGCUUGGCUGAAAGGCCUGGCUAAUCUUUUGAAAUGCAAUCGUGCUUGGGCUUGCGGCUUGCAACUAGCCGCACCAACGAGGAAUUCCUAGUAGACGCAAGUCAUCAACUUGCAUCGAUUACGUCCCUGCCCUUUGUACACACCGCCCGUCGCUGCAACCGAUUGGGUGCCUCGGUGAAUUGUCGGGAGAAUUUGGUUCGCUUUUGGGUGGGCCGGGUUCGAACUUCAAUAAAUUUGGGUAUCUAGAGAUUGCAGAAGUCGUAACAAGGUUUCCGU
rnacentral:rRNA from 1 species